CCGUCCGAUCGCGAUUAAAAUAGAAAUAAAUCUGGAUCGUCCAUCGCGAUGUGAUCUGGACCGUCCGUGCGUGAUUCAAUCUGGGUCGUCCGCACACGUGAGAUUUGGACCGUCCGUGUGCGUGAGAUCUGGGCCAUCCGCACGCGUGAGAUCUGGACCGUUCGAUCGCGUGCGCGCAGAUCUUUCACGUGGCUCUGUCCGCGUGGUCUCCCGCGUUAGCUUCCUUG
rnacentral:lncRNA from 1 species